AACAGAUUGAGAAAAUCACCACCAGGAGUCUCUAGUGAGGAAACAACGUGUUCCAAACAUGUGAUUGUUUACUUUUUUAAAAAAGUUUUUUUAUCUUUUCAAUGAAUAGUUUUCAUUAAUUUUAUUUUUCACUUGGUUUAAUUGUCACCAUUAACAAUGAGUUGGUUAACCAAUAUCAAACAAAUAUCUUUGGAAGAUACGAUAUUCGACAGCAAAUUUCACCCAAGCAAACCCAACAUUUUUGUCUGUGUCACUGUUUCUGGUGAUCUUUUCAUGUAAGUCACCUUCUAUUGUUAAACAAUACAAUUUAUCUUAUCUUCAUUUUCGGUUUAAUGGCAAACGUUACAAUUUCAAUUCCAUUGUAAUAUAAUAACGAUCAACGUAAAAUUAUAAAAUCAACACAAUUAAAUUCAUCAUCUUCAUCGUCUUCAAUUUCAUCGACAAUAGUUAUUCCUAAGAUUAAAGUCACCAAUGGUCCAAUGGUUCCAAAUUAAAGAAUCGAGAUUCUCUAUCUCUCUCAGUUUUUGUUUUGCUCUAUCACUAAGCAAAUCUGUCGCUGUGAUUUGUUUUGAACGAUAUGAUCUGCUGAUUUGUUCGGCCAAUAAACGGUAUUUAUUUGGUGGUGUUGUGUAGGAUAAUUGGCAGUACAAUCUUUCCUGGUACUCGACUCUCUUAACAGUUGAUGCAAGGGUUGCAGGCGAUUUAAUGAAACUUUCACGUCUUAAAGACCGUCGAUGUUUUUCUUGAGGUUUAUCGUCUACGUCAGUCCAACAACUAUCAACAGGAUUAAGUCCACCACUUGACUUUUUAUAACCUCCGUCAGAAUUUGUCAAGGUAGAUCCAUUGGCGAUCUGUGGACUUACACGAAUCUCUGAAAUGUUUUGCUGAAUUUUGGAAUCACUUUGCUUUUUUCGCUGCAUCGAUAUCUUUUUUAAUGCUUUCGGCAACAGUCACCUUCUCAGCAGUUUUUCAACAGAAACAGCCAAUUGCUGACGUAAAGAUGUCAGAGUAGAAACGUCAUUUUCGGAAGAACAAAUAGAAACACUUUCAACAACAAUAUCUUGACUAACAGCCAUCAAUUCCAUUGAGUAGUCAUUCUGAGUGAAAAGAGCUUUUUUCAAAUUUUCUCGCUCGAUUUUUUACCAUUUUUUUAAUAAGCCUUUGCUUAAAAGGUGUUUUUCUGGUCUUUUUAUUAUUUGUAUUUCCUCCAAGAAUUUGAUAAGGUGAAGCGCCACUUCGAGUUAAUUUUCUAAACUCAGUUUCUCGUAGAGAAUAAUAUUUUCUUGUUUUGGAAGAAACUGGAGUUUGAUAGUUUGAUGACAAUUCAAGGAUCAAAUCAAUCUUUAUUUCCAUGUUGUUUACAAAUUCAAUUGGUGAUAAAUAUAAAUGAAUUGACCCGCAGAGAGAAAGAUGGAAAUUUAAAGAAUAUGAUGAGCAACUUGAAUGAUGGAUAAAAAGAUGAUGGAAUCGCCAAUCAAACCCAGUAAAUCUUCAACAAUUAACACAUAACCUGAGAGAGAGAGAUCGUAAAAAAUAGAAAACAAGUUAAUAAUCAUUGAAAAUUAUGGAUUAGCAGAAGAGAGAAAAACAACAACUUUGAUUAAAAGACAAACACUGUGUUUGAAACACAUAAAACACAGUGUGAGGAACAUUUAAAAUUUUUUCUCAAUAUUUGCUUUUCUUUUCAACAGAUGGCGUUACUUUCGUUUUUCGAUCAGAUGUUUUGUCCAAAUGAUUUAAUUCCGAACAAUUUAUUUAAUUUGAUUGAUUGUCAAUCAUAAUCAAUUUGUCCCGGUGGUUUAAUCACUGUUACUUUAUUGUGCUGAGCAGUUUCUACUGGUGAUCUAUUACUUACUUGUUUAUUCAUGUAUCUCCUCAUCAAGUGACAUCUCUCAUUGACAAUCAGAUGUGUUUUCAGCCUUUGGUGUGACUUUGAUCAUCUUAAUUGUUACAAUUUUAGUUUUUUGCGUCAUCAAACUACUAAAUUUAAAAAAUAACAUUGGGUUAGAAAAUUUAUCUUCAUUCACUAUUUUCAUGAAUAAAAGUGAAAAAACUGUCAAUUCAAUAAUCAGUCCACCUCGAGUUCAAAAUGCCUCUUACCCAGAACUCAAUUUAUCAAUAUUUCAUUUCCCACCUCCCACCCUGAGCCAAUCAAUUUUCGCUUCGUGCGUCAUGAUUAGCGUGUUGACUGUUGAUAUGAGAGGCAAGUUUAAAGUUGUUUGUACUUCUUUUUUCACAAAUUGGACAGAUUGAAACGUAGUGAAUGCUGAAUAAAUGAUUUUCUAAAUUUUGA